rnacentral:ncRNA from 11 species
AGAAACCACUGGCACGUGGAGAAUAAGCUGCACUGGCGUCUGGACGGUGUGCCGCAGGAACACAAGAUAGCUGCAUAAGGAUACGCAGUUAGCUUUUGUAUAAGCUCAUAAAGAGAUGGUGGAAGGCCCACCGGGAUCGGCUGUCGGAAGCAGAUUCCAAACCACUUCAUGCUGCUGUGGUAAAGAGCCAUGGUAGUGAGCGAUGAAGUAAAGCGUGAGUGAAAACUCAGCAGGUAAGAUACUCAUGAGACGAGUGAACCCGAACCCAUGUUGACGCGUCGUAAACCAGAGACUGACAUCAAAACCGAAGGGGCGUCCAGCCUUCGGGAUAAGUCUGCGAGUGAAUUCCGAAUGCUGCGCAGACGGUGUCCGGCGUAAAGUGGGCGUGACGGAGUAUCAGGCUCUUCCUGGGAACUGCGGGAACCUGUCGUUGUGAUGAUAAGGGAGAAAUGCAAGUCACUGAAUUGGCGAGCAUGAAAGUACCGAUGCACAGCACAGGGACGGAGCCGUUCGUAGUAGUGAUGAAGCUUCUGUAAUGGAGGUGGAGCGAAGGGGCGGCAUCAGACAGUCUUUGGACAGUGUUCAACUGAACAUGUUCAGGAGGAGACAAUGACAAAGACAAAAGCGUUUAACAUUGAUAAGUCACUGGUGGUCAGCGCGUACAGGCGAGUGAAGACCAGUGCAGGCGCGGCGGGAAUUGAUAAGCAAUCGCUGGCGGACUUUGAUAAACGGUUAGUUGAUAAUCUGUACAAAAUCUGGAACCGACUUUCUUCAGGAAGUUAUUUCCCACCGGCAGUGAAAGCGGUGGCAAUUCCGAAGAAAUUGGGUGGAGAGAGAAUUCUGGGUAUCCCGACAGUCAGCGAUCGUAUCGCGCAGACGGUGGUAAAACUGGCCUUUGAGCCACAGGUUGAGCCACAUUUUCUGGCAGACUCUUACGGCUACAGACCGAAUAAAUCGGCACUGGAUGCUAUAGGGGUAACGCGUAAGCGUUGCUGGUAUUACGACUGGGUACUGGAAUUUGACAUCAAAGGGCUGUUCGAUAACAUCCCGCACGAACUGAUAAUGAAAGCCGUGGACAAACACAAUCCGGCCCGGUGGGUAAAAUUGUAUAUACAGCGGUGGCUGACAGCGCCGAUGGUGAUGUCAGACGGAGAAGUCAGAGCACGAACAAUGGGAACGCCGCAGGGAGGUGUCAUAAGUCCGUUGCUGGCAAACCUGUUCAUGCAUUAUGUGUUUGAUAAAUGGCUGGCAAAAUAUUAUCCGAAAGUGCCGUGGUAUCGAUAUGCUGAUGAUGGCAUUUUGCAUUGUCACAGCGAAGCAGAAGCGACUGAAAUGCGAGAAGUAUUACGCAAAAGAUUUAGCGAAUGCGGACUGGAAAUGCAUCCGGAGAAAACGCGAGUUAUCUACUGCAAAGAUGGAAGCCGGAAGGGUGAUUAUGAACAUACCAUGUUCGACUUUCUGGGGUACACAUUCAGGCGACGCGUAGUAAAGAACGUUAAGCGAAACAGCCUGUUUGUAAGUUUUACCCCCGCAGCGAGCAAAUCAGCGCUAAAGGCAAUGCGUCGGGAAAUCAAAGCGACAGGGAUAAGGAAAAGAGUGGAUUUAAGCAUUGAGCAGAUAGCGAAAUGGAUAAAUCCAAAACUGAAUGGCUGGAUAAAUUAUUACGGGCGAUAUACCUGUUCGGAAUUAUACAGCGUGUUCAGAUAUAUCAAUAAAGCACUGGUGAGGUGGGGGCGUAAGAAAUAUAAAAUGCUCAGCCGAUACAAGACAAGAGCCUCAAAAUUUCUGGAAGAAAUGGCGAAGCGAAGUCCACAGUUGUUUGCCCACUGGCGUCUGAAGAUGAGAGGCGGACUUGUUUGAUGGGAGCGGUAUGAGCCGAGAGGUUCACGUACCGUUCUGCGAGAGGCUGCGGGGGAGGUUCCUGCGGCCUACUCACCUGGUAAUGAAUGAAGACGACUGCAAAAUAAGAAGAGGAAAUG